UACGUAGGGAGCAAGCGUUGUUCGGAAUCAUUGGGCGUAAAGCGCGCGUAGGUGGCCUCAUAAGUCCGCUGUGAAAGUCCAAGGCUCAACCUUGGAAAGCCGGUGGAUACUGUGAGGCUAGAGUACGGAAGAGGCGAGUGGAAUUCCUGGUGUAGCGGUGGAAUGCGCAGAUAUCAGGAGGAACACCAAUAGCGAAGGCAGCUCGCUGGGACGUUACUGACGCUGAGGCGCGAAAGCGUGGGGAGCAAACAGG
rnacentral:rRNA from 1 species